rnacentral:tRNA from 1 species
GGAUUGGUGGCUCAGUGGUAGAAUUCUUGCCUUCGGUGCAGGAGGCCCAGGUUGAAUUCCUGGCCAGUGCA